rnacentral:rRNA from 1 species
GAUGAACGCUGGCGGCGUGCCUAAUACAUGCAAGUCGAGCGAACGGACGAGAAGCUUGCUUUUCUGAUGUUAGCGGCGGACGGGUGAGUAACACGUGGAUAACCUACCUAUAAGACUGGGAUAACUUCGGGAAACCGGAGCUAAUACCGGAUAAUAUUUUGAACCGCAUGGUUCAAAAGUGAAAGACGGUCUUGCUGUCACUUAUAGAUGGAUCCGCGCUGCAUUAGCUAGUUGGUAAGGUAACGGCUUACCAAGGCAACGAUGCAUAGCCGACCUGAGAGGGUGAUCGGCCACACUGGAGCUGAGACACGGUCCAGACUCCUACGGGAGGCAGCAGUAGGGAAUCUUCCGCAAUGGGCGAAAGCCUGGCGGAGCAACGCCGCGUGAGUGAUGAAGGUCUUCGGAUCGUAAAACUCUGUUAUUAGGGAAGAACAUAUGUGUAAGUAACUGUGCACAUCUUGACGGUACCUAAUCAGAAAGCCACGGCUAACUACGUG